GAUGAACGCUGGCGGCGUGCCUAAUACAUGCAAGUCGAGCGAACAGAUGGGGAGCUUGCUCCUCUGACGUUAGCGGCGGACGGGUGAGUAACACGUGGAUAACCUACCUAUAAGACUGGGAUAACUUCGGGAAACCGGAGCUAAUACCGGAUAAUAUAUUGAACCGCAUGGUUCAAUAGUGAAAGACGGUUUUGCUGUCACUUAUAGAUGGAUCCGCGCCGCAUUAGCUAGUUGGUAAGGUAACGGCUUACCAAGGCAACGAUGCGUAGCCGACCUGAGAGGGUGAUCGGCCACACUGAAACUGAGACACGGUCCAGACUCCUACGGGAGGCAGCAGUAGGGAAUCUUCCGCAAUGGGCGAAAGCCUGACGGGGCAACGCCGCGUGAGUGAUGAAGGUCUUCGGAUCGUAAAACUCUGUUAUUAGGGAAGAACAAAUGUGUAAGUAACUAUGCACGUCUUGACGGUACCUAAUCAGAAAGCCACGGCUAACUACGUG
rnacentral:rRNA from 1 species